UACGGAGGAUGCAAGCGUUAUCCGGAUUUAUUGGGUUUAAAGGGUGCGUAGGCGGCCUGCUAAGCGGGAGGUGAAAUGCCGGCGCUCAACGUCGGAAGUGCCUCCCGAACUGGUUGGCUGGAAUAGCCCUGCCGUGGGAGGAAUGUGUGGUGUAGCGGUGAAAUGCUUAGAGAUCACACAGAACACCGAUUGCGAAGGCAUCUCACGAAGGGCCGAUUGACGCUGAGGCACGAAAGCGUGGGGAU
rnacentral:rRNA from 1 species